UAUGAACGGCAAGUUCCAGAUUAAAAGGACUUGGAAACUAACUACGGAGUACUCCAGGAGAGAAAUCUGCAACCCGAUUUACAGCACUCCCGAAAUCGUCGCCGGCUCCAAUUCCCGCAGACCCCACCGCAAAUCGCCGGCACGGACCCACCUCGAUCUCUUCUACCGAUUCCCGGCCCGCCGGCGCCCCCUCCGGGACCCUAGCUCGGCUCGAUUCAGUUUGAUGGCUUCUUUGCUGCUCCGGUCCGCCGGCCGCGUGCUCCGGCGAUCUCUCCAGCAGGGGCCCCUUCGGCGGUCCCCCGCGCAGCCGUUCGUUGAUAAUCCGCGCCGCUUCAGCUCCGAUGCCGUCAAUAAGCACUCCUGCGCGCCAGAGAACAGCCUCAACAGCAUAGAGGCGGGCCUUGAUGUGAACCUUCAGAUCAUGCGUGCUACAGCAGAACAAGCUAAAGUUAUAUACUACAGAAGAUCACAGAGGAUGAAUUAGCGGAUAAGAAACGCGAGACGGUGGUACUCGGUGCCUUUGCUUUUCUUGGUCUUACACUUUGUGCUGGCGAAUCACUAUUUGGUGGAGUCAAGAAGGAGAAAUCUCAGGAAGUUGAACCUCUAAUUUAGUAGUACUCCCUCCGUCCAACAAAAAAGGAUGUCAUCUAUACACUAAAUCAUGUCUAGAUACAUUCAAAUUUUGACAUCUUGUGUUGGAUGGAGGGAGCACUAGAUUUACGCCGCAACCAAACACGUCCUCGGUGUUAAGGAAGUGUACUCACGUGCAUGCCUGUGCGUGGAUAGUUUCUGAAAGAUCGUUGGAGAUAGUGUGUGAGCGUGAGAAUUCUUCCAAAAGAAUUGUAUGAUUACGUGGAAUUUAGCUAGAUGACACACCUACGGUCGAUAUCUUCCUCUCCAGCAAAGAGCCAGGAAGCAUUUUUAUGUUCACGAACCCGAGUUCGCGGCCCGCCUGGAACAACCGUCGGAUCUCGCGGGCCGCCUCAGGCUCGAGCGGGCCGCCUCACCUCCUUCGAGCAUGCGAGGUGGCACGCGGAGGCUGAGCUCCAGCGGCUGAUCGUGAUCUCCGACUCAGAGUCCAAUGGGAGCCACGGCGACAUCGCUUCGUAGAUUAAAUUUAGGUUUAAAUGUUGUGUUAGACUAGAUCGAUCGAAUGUAUGCAAAUUUUAU